ACGCACGCUGGCGGCGUGCCUCAUCCCUGCCAGUAGAACGCACAGUUUAUACCGUAGCUUGCUACACCAUAGCCUGUGAGUUGCGAACGGGUGAGUAACGCGUAGGUAACCUGCCUGGUAGCGGGGGAUAACUAUUGGAAACGAUAGCUAAUACCGCAUAAUAUUGAUUAUUGCAUGAUAAUUGAUUGAAAGAUGCUAUUGCAUCACUACCAGAUGGACCUGCGUUGUAUUAGCUAGUAGGUGAGGUAACGGCUCACCUAGGCGACGAUACAUAGCCGACCUGAGAGGGUGAUCGGCCACACUGGGACUGAGACACGGCCCAGACUCCUACGGGAGGCAGCAGUAGGGAAUCUUCGGCAAUGGACGAAAGUCUGACCGAGCAACGCCGCGUGAGUGAAGAAGGGUUUCGGAUCGUAAAGCUCUGUUGUAAGAGAAGAACGGGUGUGAGAGUGGAAAGUUCACACUGUGACGGUAUCUUACCAGAAAGGGACGGCUAACUACGUG
rnacentral:rRNA from 1 species